rnacentral:rRNA from 1 species
UACGAAGGGGGCUAGCGUUGCUCGGAAUCACUGGGCGUAAAGCGCACGUAGGCGGACUCUUAAGUCGGUGGUGAAAUCCUGGAGCUCAACUCCAGAACUGCCUUCGAUACUGGGAGUCUCGAGUUCGGGAGAGGUGAGUGGAACUGCGAGUGUAGAGGUGAAAUUCGUAGAUAUUCGCAAGAACACCAGUGGCGAAGGCGGCUCACUGGCCCGAUACUGACGCUGAGGUGCGAAAGCGUGGGGA